ACACCUCAACUCUCACGGUUUUUCCGUGAUGAGCUUGGACUUUGGGGGUCUUGCUGGCCUGCGGUCGGCUCCUCUCGAAUGAAUCAGCUUGCCAGUGUCUGGUGGCAUCACAGGUGUGAUAACUAUCUACGCUUGUGGUUUUCCACCAGGUAACCUUCAGUGAUGGAGGUUCGCUGGAGCUAAUAAACGUCUCUCCUCAGCGAGGACAGCUUCUUGAAC
rnacentral:misc_RNA from 1 species